CGGCAGUGAGUACCCCUGGGGCUGGGCUGUUCCCCCCAAGAGAGCUGAGCGUCUCAGACCUCAGUGCGCACAGCUGGGGUGGGGGUGUGGGGUGUGUCUUGUGCUGAAUCCGCAGCCCAGAGAAGGCCUGCGAGCAGAGCCCGACGCCCCUGCCUGGGACGGCGGAGUCCGCGGAGACUGAGCAGUGGUUCCCCCUGGAGGCUCACUGGCCAGGAGAAACCAGGUGGGGAUGGUGGCGAGACAGCAAGCGGCUAGAUGGACUGAGGGGUUGCUGCAGAGAGCAAGGAGCAGAAGAGGACGAAAAGGAGCAAUGCAGCUGAAAAUAAGGGGGCGCGGUCACUGUCUGCCUGUGGCUAGAGGCGGGUCGGUCCUGAGCUCGGUCUCCAUCGUGAUCCCCACAGCGGCGCCUUCUCUCCUGCAGCUCAGGUCGUGCUCAGCCGAGCACGAUUCAAUUCCCCGACGAGUUUCCCCGGCCCCCUCCCGCCGCGGACCAGGAGCAGCCCACUGUGCACAGCAGACCUCCCCCUCUCCCCGCUGCCCUUAUCAGCCGUGGAUUUCAGUCCAUCCGCCAAUUCUGCUCCCCACUCUCUCUCGUGACUCCUCUCACCCCCCCCACCUCUGGCCUGUACCCCAGCUCUUGUGUGCAUAAAGAAAUAAAUCUACAAAAAUAAAGGAGGA